rnacentral:rRNA from 1 species
AGAGCGAACGCUGGCGGCGUGCUUAACACAUGCAAGUCGAACGCGCAGCAUUCUGUAGCAAUACAGGAUGUGGGCGCGUGGCGAACGGGUGCGUAACACGUGGAUAACCUUCCUUCAGGUGGGGAAUAACCCAGUGAAAAUUGGGCUAAUACCGCAUCAUAUUACGAGGGCACAUGCUCUUGUACUCAAAGCCGCAAGGCGCCAGAAGAGGGAUCCGCGGCCGAUUAGCUUGUUGGCGAGGUAAUGGCUCACCAAGGCAUUGAUCGGUA